GCCUUAUUACAUGCAGUCGAGCGGACAGAUGGGAGCUUGCUCCCUGAUGUUAGCGGCGGACGGGUGAGUAACACGUGGGUAACCUGCCUGUAAGACUGGGAUAACUCCGGGAAACCGGGGCUAAUACCGGAUGGUUGUUUGAACCGCAUGGUUCAAACAUAAAAGGUGGCUUCGGCUACCACUUACAGAUGGACCCGCGGCGCAUUAGCUAGUUGGUGAGGUAACGGCUCACCAAGGCGACGAUGCGUAGCCGACCUGAGAGGGUGAUCGGCCACACUGGGACUGAGACACGGCCCAGACUCCUACGGGAGGCAGCAGUAGGGAAUCUUCCGCAAUGGACGAAAGUCUGACGGAGCAACGCCGCGUGAGUGAUGAAGGUUUUCGGAUCGUAAAGCUCUGUUGUUAGGGAAGAACAAGUACCGUUCGAAUAGGGCGGUACCUUGACGGUACCUAACCAGAAAGCCACGGCUAACUACGUGCCAGCAGCCGCGGUAAUACGUAGGUGGCAAGCGUUGUCCGGAAUUAUUGGGCGUAAAGGGCUCGCAGGCGGUUUCUUAAGUCUGAUGUGAAAGCCCCCGGCUCAACCGGGGAGGGUCAUUGGAAACUGGGGAACUUGAGUGCAGAAGAGGAGAGUGGAAUUCCACGUGUAGCGGUGAAAUGCGUAGAGAUGUGGAGGAACACCAGUGGCGAAGGCGACUCUCUGGUCUGUAACUGACGCUGAGGAGCGAAAGCGUGGGGAGCGAACAGGAUUAGAUACCCUGGUAGUCCACGCCGUAAAC
rnacentral:rRNA from 2 species